AGGGCUGUAGUUAAUCAUAACAUUUGGCUUGCACCCAAAAAGUACUGUGAAGUCUGCCUUA
rnacentral:tRNA from 1 species